rnacentral:rRNA from 1 species
AUUGAACGCUGGCGGCAGGCCUAACACAUGCAAGUCGAGCGGAGCGGCGGACGGGUGAGUAAUGCCUAGGAAUCUGCAUGGUAGUGGGGGAUAACGUCCGGAAGCGGGCGCUAAUACCGCAUACUAUCAGAUGAGCCUAGGUCGGAUUAGCUAGUUGGGGGGGUAAAGGCCUACCAAGGCGACGAUCCGUAACUGGGCUGAGCGGAGGAUCAGUCAAACUGGAACUGAGACACGGGCCAGACUCUGACGGGAGGCAGCAGUGGGGAAUAUGGGACAAUGGGCGAAAGCCUGAUCCAGCCAUGCAGAGUGUGGGAAGAAGGUCUUAGGAUUGUAAAGCACUUUAAGUUGGGAGGCGUUACCAACAGAAUAAGCACCGGCUAACUUCGUGCCAGCAGCCGCGGUAAUAC